AUGCUCACUUCAGCAGCACAUAUACUAAAAUUGGAAUGAUACAGAGAUGAUAACAUGGUCCCUGCACAAGGAUGGCAUGGUAAUUCAUGAAGCAUUUCAUAUUUAA
ensembl:snRNA Gm23848 U6 spliceosomal RNA